rnacentral:rRNA from 1 species
GUGGGGAAUAUUGCACAAUGGGCGCAAGCCUGAUGCAGCAACGCCGCGUGAGGGACGACGGCCUUCGGGUUGUAAACCCCUUUUGGCAGGGAAGAAGCGAAAGGGACGGUACCUGCAGAAAAAGCACCGGCUAACUACGUGCCAGCAGCCGCGGUGAUACGUAGGGUGCAAGCGUUGUCCGGAAUUAUUGGGCGUAAAGAGCUCGUAGGCGGUUUGUCGCGUCUGCUGUGAAAACCCGAGGCUCAACCUCGGGCCUGCAGUGGGUACGGGCAAACUAGAGUGCGGUAGGGGAGAGUGGAAUUCCUGGUGUAGCGGUGGAAUGCGCAGAUAUCAGGAGGAACACCGAUGGCGAAGGCAGAUCUCUGGGCCGUAACUGACGCUGAGGAGCGAAAGCAUGGGGAGCGAACA